rnacentral:rRNA from 1 species
GACGAACGCUGGCGGCGUGCUUAACACAUGCAAGUCGAACGGAAAGGCCCUGCUUUUGUGGGGUGCUCGAGUGGCGAACGGGUGAGUAACACGUGAGUAACCUGCCCUUGACUUUGGGAUAACUUCAGGAAACUGGGGCUAAUACCGGAUAGGAGCUCCUGCUGCAUGGUGGGGGUUGGAAAGUUUCGGCGGGUGGGGAUGGACUCGCGGCUUAUCAGCUUGUUGGUGGGGUAGUGGCUUACCAAGGCUUUGACGGGUAGCCGGCCUGAGAGGGUGACCGGCCACAUUGGGACUGAGAUACGGCCCAGACUCCUACGGGAGGCAGCAGUGGGGAAUAUUGCACAAUGGGCGGAAGCCUGAUGCAGCAACGCCGCGUGCGGGAUGACGGCCUUCGGGUUGUAAACCGCUUUCGCCUGUGACGAAGCGUGAGUGACGGGAAUGGGUAAAGAAGCACCGGCUAACUACGUG